AAGCUUUGCAGGGAGGGGUUAGAAAAAUGCAGGAAGAAUUAUAAGCAAUACAAGUUUAUUUAAUUACUUUGGAAACAAACAGUCCCCCCCCAAAUGAUGCCUGAACCUAAAAGGUACAUAAAAAUGACCAACAAUAUCUUAAAAUAAUAGAGCUGACAGUUAAUUGCAGUUUUCCCCUCAGAACAAGUGUGUGUUCAGCUGGACAGUAAAUUACAAACCAUAUCAAAUCAUGUUAAGGCAGAUGAUAAAUCUGGUUGCGUUUGUUAAUGACUGCCAGGAAAGUGAUGUGUGGGAGCUGGGUGUUCUUCCUCCCAGCAGUUUGGUCAGUUGGCCCACGAAGAGGCAGUCCUGGAGGCAGCCGGUAGAGACCAGGCCCUGCCUGUCUUGUCACUGCUCGUUCUGCUGACCCUCUGUGACGGAAGUGGACACAGAACCCUGGCCCUUGUUGACAUCACUGAUGCACACCCAUUGCCCGUCAACCGACUCCUUCCACAGGGUCACCUGCAAGCCAGCACACACAUCCUGUUACAGAAGAAGAACUAACAGCUAUUCACAGAGACAGACACACCACUGAACAAAUCCUACAACACAGAAGUGAGGCUGAAGUGUCCUGCACUAUGGACACUGAGACCGACUGCAUUAGAAGGAUCACAGCUGAAUCUGUGAGGCCCAGCUGCUGAGAAUUGGAUUGUGACCAGAGAGGACUUCCAACAACCAGCACUCAGAUCUCUCUGCAGCCUGAGUCCCUAGCUGCAGGGCCCAAGUGAGUUUGUUCUGACAGAGAAGCUGGGGCACAGGUAGGCUUCAGUCCAGACCACAAAGCAUUAGUAACCUUAAAGCUGCUUCCUUGGAAAGCACACCAGUUCAUAGCUGCACUUCCUACUGAAUACAGCCUUCGGACUGCCCAACCAGCGAAGCCACAUAGCCGGUCAACAACCCUGCUUAAGGUAACACAGGAAUAGAAAGCACAGCCGGUGGCAUUCACUGUCUGCAUAGCAAAUCUGGUGGCCUCACCUGACCAGGAAUUCGGUGCACACUCUUGACUCUUCAGCUCCCCCCGAAAUAAGCCAUGCAUUCUCUGGAUCCCAUCCUGCUGUGUGCUGCCAAGGCAAGGAAGGUAAUUCUAGCCUCACCUACUGCUGAGUCACGUAGCCAGUCCUGACUGUCUAGCAAGCCUGACCAGAGAAUCCAGGCAGCUGUGAAGCUGAUGCUCCAGCCUCACUGGUGCAGGGAGAGAAACCAGCUGUCCUGUCUACCUGAUCUCAGCCAGUGGCAUACUCAGAGUGGAAAAAAGUGCCUCAACCCAAAACAGAACUUAAUAGCAGGUCCUUUCAACCUAAGAACACUAAUACGAGAGAAAGCCAGAAACCCAAAUUGAGCUGACUAGUGAAGAACUGUAUCUGCACACUUCCAGAGGGACAAUGAAUUAUUCGAAAAAGAAAGAAAAGAAUUCAAAACGGCCCACUGUCAAGAAGCCCACUUGCAAUCUCUUGCAUUCCUAUAAACUAACAGUGAAAAAUCAGAAAGAGAAAUUAAGGAAACACUCCCAUUUACCACUCAAACAAACAGAAUAAAAUACCCAGGAAUAAACCUACCUAAGGAGGCAAAAGACUUGUAUGCAGAAAACUAUAAGACACUGAUGAAAGAAAUUUAAAGAUGAUACCAACAGAUGGAGAGGUAUACCCCGUUCUUGGAUUGGAAGAAUCAACAUUGUAAAAACGACUAUACUACCCAAAGCAAUCUACAGAUUCAGUGCAAUCCCUUUCAAAGUAAAGUACCAGUGGCAUUUUUCACAGAACUAGAACAAAAAACUUUGGAAACGCAAACGACCCCAAAUAGCCAAAGCAAUCUUGAGAAAGAAAAACAGAGCUGGAGGAAUCAGGUUCCCCAACUUCAAAGUAUACUACACAAAGCUACAGCAAGCAAGACAGUAUGGUACUGGCACAAAAACAGAAAUAUAGAUCAACUGUACAGGAUAGAAAGCCCAGAGAUAAACCCACGCACCCAUGGUCAACUAAUCUAUGACAAAGGAGGCAAGACGAUACAAUGGAGAACACACACCCUCUUCAAUAAGUGGUGCUGGGAAAACUGGACAGCUAUAUGUAAAAUAAGGAAAUUAGAACACUUCCUAACACCAUACACAAAAAUAAACUCAAAAUGGAUUAAAGACCUAAAUGUAAGACCAGACACUAUAAAACUCUUAGAGGAAAACAUAGGAAGAACACUCUUUGACAUAAAUCACAGCAAGAUCUUUUUGGAUCCACCUCCUAGAGUAAUGGAAAUAAAAACAAAAAUAAACAAUGGGACCUAAUGAAACUUAAGAUUUUGCAUAGCAAAUCACACCAUAAACAAGACAAAAAUACAACCCUCAGAAUGGGAGAAAAUAUUUGCAAAUGAAACAGACAAAAGAUUAAUCUCCAAAAUAUACAUGCAGCUCAAUAUCAAGAAAACAACCUAAUCGAAAUAUGGGUGCAAAAUCUAAAUACACAUUUUUCCAAAGAAGACAUACAGAAUGCCAAAAAACAAAAGAUGCUCAACAUCACUAAUCAUUAGAGAAAUCAAACCAAACUCCAACAAGGUAUCACCUCACACCUGUCAGAAUGGCCAUCAUCAAAAAGUCUGCAAACAAUAAAUGCUGGAGAGGCCGAGGAGAAAAGGGAACCCUCCUACACCACUGGGGGCAAUGUAAAUUUGUAGAGCCACUAUGGAGAACACUACAGAGGUUCCUUAAAACACCACAAAUAGAGCUACCAUAUGAUCCGGCAAGCCCACUGCUGGGCACACAUCUGCAGAUAACCAUACUUGGAAAGCCGACACUUGCACGUUCAUUGACUGCAGCAAGACCUACAACAGUCAAGGUUUGGAAGCAACCACAAUCUCCAUCCACAGGCGAAUGGAGAGAGAACAUGUGGUACAUAUAUACAAUGGAAUGAACACUCAGGCAUAAAAAAAAUGAAAUAAUGCUAUUGGCAGCAAGGUGGACAGACCUAGAGAUUAUACUAAGUGAAGCAAGUCAGACAGAGAAGAACAGAUAUCAUAUGAUUUCACGAAGAGGUGGAAUCUAAAAAUUGAUAGGCGUGAACUAAUGUACAAAACAGAAACGGACGCACGGACAUAGAAAAGGAACUUAGGGUUACCAAGGGGGAAAGCAUGGGGGGAGGAACAAAUGCUGUGGUUGGGAUUAACCUGUACACACUAAUAUUUAUAAAAUGGAUAAUCAACAAGGACCUUCUGUGGAGCAUAAGGAACUCUACUCAACAAUCUGUCAUAACCAAUAAGGGAACAGAAUCUGAGAACAGAUCUAUGUAUCUGCAUAACUGAAACACGUCACUGUACACCAGAAACAAAAACAACACUAAAUUUACAACACUCCAAACUAAAAUCAGAAGUAAAAAUAAAAUACAAUAAAAUCAAAAGAGAAAGAAAUGCCUCCUCUAUUCCGUGUUGGCUUAGGGAACCUGGGCUACUGUCACUCCCCUGGAGCCUGGGCAGCCAGUAACACAAGGCUAGAGUGUUCUGGGCCUGAGGGAGCUGGGGAGGAUGUACCAGCAAAUGAGCCCCCCUUGGACCUGGAGUGUCUGGUCCCUGGGGAUGUCACCACAAUCUCCAGAUCCAGGCAGACCCUCCCGCAGCUGAAGCCAACAUUGUGCACCCAGAGGAUGGUGGACCCUCUGGCCGGGAAGAGCUCUGAAUAGUCUCCUAGUCUCCAUGUCUGCUGGUGGUGGCCUUCCCACCUUCAGCUGCCUUCAUUAGGGUCACCCCACCCAUGUAGGACAGCACCCUCAGCAUUGGGGUUUUGCAGGGGUUAGGACCUGUCUGGGAGGGGGGCAAUGAAGUAAUGAGAUACAAGCCCUUGGGUGUUUGUGCUGACACAUUCCACUAAUUCACAACCCAGGAACACGACUUCCCCUUAGGCUGUACAUGCAGGUGUAACCAGAGUUGGGCAUGAAGAAAUCAUGCCACCUUUUGGCCAUUUACAGUAACAACAACUUUAAAGCAGGUGCUCAGGGGAACUUCAUAUUCUCAAAGCCUGUGAGCCUGUAAAGACACCUGCCGUCACGAAAUGCCCAGGAGCAGGUAAUAGGAAAGGAAUUCAAAACAGGGCCCAGUUUUAAGAGGCCAAUUUCCAGAGGUACAUUUUACUCAUAGUGUUAAAAAGAGAGGCACAUGAAAAGAUGCUGAACAUUCCUAAAUAUUAGAGAAUUGGAAAUCAAAACUGCAAGGAGGCACCACUUCACACCACUCAAAAUGCCAUGAACAAAAAGUGUACAAACAAUAAAUGUAGCAGAGGGCAUGGAGGAAAGGGAGCCCUCCUAUGUUUUUGGUGAGACUGCAGUCUGGUAAUAACUACUAUGGAGAAAAGAAUGGCGGUUCCUCAAACAGUAAACACACAGCUACCAUAUGAUUCAGCAGUCCCACUCGUUGCCACACACGUAGAUAAAAGUAUAACUGGAAAAUGUACGUGCACCCCUAUGUUCAUAGCAGCACUAUUUAGAAUAGGCAAGACAUGGAAACAACCUAAAUGUCCACUGACAGAAGAAUGGGUAAAGAA